UGGUGACCAGCUCCUUGAAGUGGUGGGGCUGGAGGGAGCCAUGGAGAUGGGGCAGAUCUACACUGGCCUGAAGAGUGCAGGCAGGAGGCUGGCCCAGUGCUCCUCUGUCACCAUCAGGACUAACAAGCUGCUACCAAUGCAAGUGGAUGGAGAGCCCUGGAGGCAGCCCCGUUGCACGAUUAAAAUUACUCACAAGAACCAAGCACCCAUGAUGAUGGGACCUCCCCAGAAGGGCAGCUUCUUUUCGCUGAGGAGGAAGAGCCGUUCAAAAGACUAAACAGUGUGCCAAACGCCAACUAAAACAAGAAAGAAAACAAGAAACUGUAACUACACACUCACACACACACAUUUACACACACAUACACACACACUCUUCUCUAACCAGUGGAAGUAAAGCUACCCUUCAGGAAGAAAACUUUACCGUGCCAUACAAUCUAUUUCAAUAGUGAAUAUGCCCCUAACAGAGCCAGUGCCAAUAAAACAUUUUGAAUGGACUUAGGGCCCACCAGGGUGUGGUUGGCUCAUGCAGCAACCCCCACGUUCCCACAGGCCUGGAGUAGACCUCUCUGAGACUAAAGGAGAAAUCCGCCUUUCUUUCCACCAGGCCUGCAAGUUUCCUUAUGGACACUCACAACGAGCAGGUUUCCUGCCUAUGGUGAGAUCGGAUGUGGCCAAGGAAAGAACUCUGGUUCCAGAGAACUCGCACAAAGGUCCCUCUGUACAGAGACAAAACCGCCUCCAGCUCUCAGAGCAUAAUCCUUGGCAGGGCUCCGCAAGCGCACGUUGGUUUCUUGGUUGUCCUUUGAGCGACAACUUUUCUCUGAACUUGCUGAGGAGGCAGAAAGGCUGUGGAAAGCUAUGUUUCCACACUCAUUUCUCUGCGCUGUCAGUGGGCACUUGUGAUUUUCCCCAAAGCCUUCUUCUGGUGGCUGUGUUUGUUUAGAGACGGCUCCAAGAGCCCCCAGAGCUGCCUGCGCAGCACACCUUAGAUGUGGUAUUUAUUUUCUUAGUUCUGUGAACACCUGGGAGGGAAAGUGGAGAAACUGGGAUUUAUUUUUCAAAUUGGUGUCAUAAUAUUGUGUAAAAAGGGAAGAAAAACCACCCCCAGCUUCUCUCUUUUUCAAGCCAAAGUGUGUUUCCUGUUCGAGUUUCAAGCCCUGGUGACAGACUAUUCCCAAAGGCAGAGAGUAUGGGAGGGAAGGGACUUUGCUGGGAAACCAGGAGACACACCUUCAGGCUGGUCCCUAUUGCUUCUUUGUACUUACCACUUCUGGAGUAUGACCUGAAGGACCUUCUGAUGGUCUUACACAUGUGUGUAUAUAUGUAGCAUACAUAUUUAUAUAUAUGUAUAAAUAUUUAUUUACUGAUGGGCUUUUCCUGAUUGGAAAAAAACAUAGGUAGUAUGGGAACAGAAAGUAGAAAGAAAAAGAAGGUUCCUACUCCCCCACUCCACCAUUUUAUUGUCAAAAUACAUUUCCCUGUGUUAAUCAUAAGGUUUAAGGGAAAUGAAAGUAGCUCCUUAUCAUGAAGAGACUGAAAACACCUCUGCUGAAUCUUAAAACAAUCAUGAAAAAUAUGCUGGGCAGGAUUUACUCUCCCAUUUGUCAAUAAGAAAACUGAGUCUCAGAGAAUUUAAGAGAUUUUUCCAUGGUAUCUUGGCUAAUGUGGUUUGAAAGUAAGUGCAACUAAGAAGACAUUUAAUAGAAAAGAACUCACACAUCUUGGAAUGCGGUAAUUUCUGGUCACUGAGAAGUGAUCCUACCUGGAGCCCCGUUGCAAGGGAGGAAUGAAUGUGCAGCACGAGCAUGGACAAGCCCGCAGGAGAAAAUGAAGGCCUUGUGAGGGUUCCCAGAGGUCCUCUCUGUCCUGAACUGGAGAGAAGUUGGUCAAAGUUGAAGACACUAGACAGAUCAUCAAAUUGAACUCUCCACAUGUCACCUCAGCAUGGUCAUUAGAGUCUCAUAGUUUGGAAACACCGCUGGCUGCAGGGAUGAACUCAGUGGAGAGUCACAAGGAAGCACCUUCUGCAAGGUGCUGUGAGCCAGGACAGAGGGGUUCAGCAGAGCUCAGUGGGCUUCAUUCAGCUGGUGCCAGCAUUCCCCUCCCUUCCGAAGGGCAAGUCUGUGCAGAGCUUCAUUGGUAGAAAGCAACGUUUGCCUCAGCCACUUUGCUCACUUGGGCCACCCCCCACCCCACCUUGAGAUUUCUCAAAAGCAAACCUGGGCCCACUUGACAUCGCUCCACUGAGCUGCCUCUAAUUUCUUUACAUGGGGCCAGGAGCUAUUAAGAUUUUGUGUACAAAUUGAGCCUAACUCUGAAGGAAGCCGUCAUGUGGGACCAUCUAAGACUGAGAUCUGGGACUACCCUGCUCGACCUAACAGUGCAGCAUUCUGGGCAAGGGGAAAAACAGGCCACCUGAAGAAUAUCCUUGAUGAUGGGACCCUUGGUGAUAGGACCAACAAGCUCCAGAAUGACUACAGGUCCUCAUACCCAGGCACCAGCUGGGCUAUAUCUUAAGACACUUCUCGGAGAAGAAAUGCCAACAAUAAACACCAGAUCAGAGUGUUCAUGCAGUAUUAAAGAUCAUAUGAAAAGAUACACAGAGAACAUAAUAAAGAUCGGGACAAGAGAAAUAAGACAACUGGUACCAACUGGUUACCAGAAAAUGGUAUGAUCUUCAAGAAAAGUUUUCCUGGUGAAUAUUUCCUCUCUCCCCAACAUCCUUGAGGUAAAAGGAUUGAGAACUAGAUCUUUCAACUCAGAGAACCAUACAUGCAUGGAGGGUGUUAAUGAUAGAGGGUGUCACUUCGAGGUUUGCUGUCGUCAUACUCUGCUUCUACCAGGCAUUAAGAUGGUAAAAGGCAGGCAACCCAACUAGAGAGAAGAGGCUUCACAGCAAGUUGCUGACCCAGCUUACAGCCCAGCUGUCCUCUUCCAUAAAAUGGGAAGAAGUAACCUUUUGUGCUUCUCUGUGCCAUUGACCUCCACACUCGAAACAAGUAAGACCCUUCUACCUUGGGAAAGUCUGGCAAAUGCUCCAUAGACACUGCUGUGGAAGAGGUCCUUCCAUGUCCCACAAUGGGAUGAGGAUGAAACCCUGCCUGGGAAAAAAAGAGCAACAUGGGAAGUGGGCUACAGCCCUGUCUCAGCCAUGUGGUCUUGGACAUGUCCUUUAGCCUGCUGGGAGCUCUUUUUCUCUAUUUGUCAAACAAGGAGGCUCUAAAGACCUUCUCACUUCAGCAAUCUUGCCUUCAUCUGGGGUAAACGCUGCAGCCAUAGGAGGCAGGGUCCUUGUUCUCAUGGGUCUCCCACCAGGCCCAACGCUUCCCCCAGCCCUGCUAACCCAGGAGGGCUACUCCUAGCCCUUCAGCCAAGAAUCUACUUUCCUUCCCUCUUGAGAACUGAUCAUGCUCAGAAAUCAGCUGAAUUGGGGAGCCAACAUGAAAGAAACACUACAAAGAAACUCUUUAGUAAACCCUCCACUUGUACACAUACGCAUGCACGCACACACAUACCCAAACCCUGAAACGUAAGCACUUUCACUUCUGUGUUUCAAAUCUCUCUUACCUGUAAUUGCCAGUGUGUUGGGAGAGAAUUCCAUCCCAUGAUGGAAAAGCAUUGCUCCCACAUAAGGAAUUCAGCUAAACUUCAGUGUUUGGGGGUGACCCUGGGCACAGGUUGAAGCUAAAGGUCCUAACACACCUAACUGCGGCCCAUAAAUCCAGACUUACCAGCCAAGACUGAGGUACAGUGCCAGGGUCCAGACCCUUUCCUCCUCACUCUUCCACCUCCACUGCCUCCCCCACCCGUAGGUAUGUCCUUCUGUAAUAGUGAGUGCACUCAAGCCUGCCUGUCUGCGUGCAUAGGGUGCCAUGGACUUGUUCUGUAACUCACUGUGUAUGUGUAUGUCUUGACUCUGUGGUUUACUGCAAAUAAAAAUGACAGCAGAUGGCCAGUCUCUGA